AUGCUCGCUUUGGCAGCACAUAUACUAAAAUUGGAACGAUACAGAGAAGAUUAGCAUGGCCCCUGCAUGAGGAUGACAUAAUUAUAAAAUUAUAAAACAAAAAU
rnacentral:snRNA from 1 species